rnacentral:rRNA from 1 species
CGGAUUAGUGGCGAACGGGUGAGUAACAUAUCGGAACGUACCCAGUAAUGGGGGAUAACUAGUCGAAAGACUGGCUAAUACCGCAUACGCCCUGAGGGGGAAAGCGGGGGGAUCGAAAGACCUCGUGUUAUUGGAGCGGCCGAUAUCUGAUUAGCUAGUUGGUGGGGUAAAGGCCUACCAAGGCGACGAUCAGUAGCUGGUCUGAGAGGACGACCAGCCACACUGGAACUGAGACACGGUCCAG